CUAAAGAUUAAGCCAUGCAUGUCUAAGUAUAAACGAUUUAAUCGUGAAACCGCGAAUGGCUCAUUAUAACAGCUAUAAUUUACUUGAUCUUGACACAAUCCUACUUGGAUAACUGUGGUAAUUCUAGAGCUAAUACAUGCAUUAAAGCUCUGACCUCACGGGAAGAGUGCAUUUAUUAGAACAAAACCAAGCGGCUUCGGCUGUUUCUGGUUGACUCAUAGUAACUGAGCUGAUCGCAUGGUCUUGCACCGGCGACGUGUCUUUCAAGUAUCUGCCGUAUCAACUUUCGAUGGUAGUGUAUCUGACUACCAUGGUGAUCACGCGUAACGGAGAAUAAGGGUUCGGCUCCGGAGAGUUCGCCUGAGAAAUCGCGAACACAUCUAAGGAAGGCAGCAGGCGCGAAAAUUACCCACUCUCAGCACGAGGAGGUAGUGACGAAAAAUAACGAGACCGUUCUCUUAUGAGGCCGGUCAUCGGAAUGGGUACAAUUUAAACCCUU
rnacentral:rRNA from 1 species